rnacentral:rRNA from 1 species
UGCAGUCGAGGGGCAGCAUGAACUUAGCUUGCUAAGUUUGAUGGCGACCGGCGCACGGGUGAGUAACGCGUAUGCAACUUGCCUAUCAGAGGAGAAUAGCUCAUCGAAAGAUGAAUUAAUGCUCCAUAAAACAGGGGUCCCGCAUGGGAAUAUUUGUUAAAGAUUCAUCGCUGAUAGAUAGGCAUGCGUUCCAUUAGGCAGUUGGCGGGGUAACGGCCCACCAAACCGGCGAUGGAUAGGGGUUCUGAGAGGAAGGUCCCCCACAUUGGUACUGAGACACGGACCAAACUCCUACGGGAGGCAGCAGUGAGGAAUAUUGGUCAAUGGCCGAGAGGCUGAACCAGCCAAGUCGCGUGAAGGAUGAAGGAUCUAUGGUUUGUAAACUUCUUUUAUACGGGAAUAAAGUGAGCCACGCGUGGCUUUUUGUAUGUACCGUAUGAAUAAGCAUCGGCUAACUCCGUGCCAGCAGCCGCGGUAAUACGGAGGAUGCGAGCGUUAUCCGGAUUUAUUGGGUUUAAAGGGUGCGUAGGUGGUCUUUUAAGUCAGCGGUGAAAGUUUGUGGCUCAACCAUAAAAUUGCCAUUGAAACUGGGGGACUUGAGUAUGUUUGAGGUAGGCGGAAUGCGUGGUGUAGCGGUGAAAUGCAUAGAUAUCACGCAGAACUCCGAUUGCGAAAGGCAGCUUGCCAAGCCAUAACUGACACUGAAGCACGAAAGCGUG